rnacentral:rRNA from 1 species
GACGAACCGUGCAAACGUUAUUCGGAAUCACUGGGCUUAAAGGGCGCGUAGGCGGGCCGCCAGGUCCGGGGUGAAAGCCUCCAGCUCAACUGGAGAAGUGCCUUGGAUACCGGCGGCCUCGAGGGAGGUAGGGGCGUGCGGAACUUCGGGUGGAGCGGUGAAAUGCGUAGAUAUCCGAAGGAACACCGGUGGCGAAAGCGGCGCGCUGGAUCUCUUCUGACGCUGAGGCGCGAAAGCCAGGGGAGCAAAGCGGG